rnacentral:sRNA from 15 species
GUCAAGGACAUGGUGAUAAAAUAUAGUUGCAAAAGACAAAGAAGGAUCCUGGACCACAUUGUACCUUGGUUGAUGUAAUAGUAGAUUUGGUGUCUGUCGUUUUAGGUAUGUCCAGUCAUUAUGAUGAUGAGAU